UACGUAGGGCGCAAGCGUUGUCCGGAAUUAUUGGGCGUAAAGCGCGCGCAGGCGGCUCGGAAAGUCGGAUGUGAAAACUCGGGGCUCAACCCCGGGCGUGCAUCCGAUACUGCCGGGCUUGAGGCAGGUAGGGGAGAUCGGAAUUCCUGGUGUAGCGGUGAAAUGCGCAGAUAUCAGGAGGAACACCGGUGGCGAAGGCGGAUCUCUGGGCCUGUCCUGACGCUGAGGCGCGAAAGCUAGGGGAGCGAACAGG
rnacentral:rRNA from 1 species